rnacentral:rRNA from 1 species
GAUGAACGCUGGCGGCGUGCUUAACACAUGCAAGUCGAACGGUAAGGCCCUUCGGGGUACACGAGUGGCGAACGGGUGAGUAACACGUGGGUGAUCUGCCCUGCACUUCGGGAUAAGCCUGGGAAACUGGGUCUAAUACCGGAUAGGACCACUGCCUGCAUGGGUGGUGGUGGAAAGCUUUUGCGGUGUGGGAUGGGCCCGCGGCCUAUCAGCUUGUUGGUGGGGUGAUGGCCUACCAAGGCGACGACGGGUAGCCGGCCUGAGAGGGUGACCGGCCACACUGGGACUGAGAUACGGCCCAGACUCCUACGGGAGGCAGCAGUGGGGAAUAUUGCACAAUGGGCGCAAGCCUGAUGCAGCGACGCCGCGUGAGGGAUGACGGCCUUCGGGUUGUAAACCUCUUUCAGCACCGACGAAGCGCAAGUGACGGUAGGUGCAGAAGAAGGACCCGCCAACUACGUGCCAGCAGCCGCCGUAA